rnacentral:rRNA from 1 species
GACGAACGCUGGCGGCGUGCCUAACACAUGCAAGUCGAACGGCAGCAUAGAGAGCUUGCUCUCUGAUGGCGAGUGGCGAACGGGUGAGUAAUACAUCGGAACGUGUCCGUUUGUGGGGGACAACCAUCCGAAAGGAUGGCUAAUACCGCAUAAGACCUGAGGGUGAAAGCCGGGGACCGCAAGGCCUGGCGCGAACGGGGCGGCCGAUGACUGAUUAGCUGGUUGGUGAGGUAAAGGCUCACCAAGGCGACGAUCAGUAGCUGGUCUGAGAGGACGACCAGCCACACUGGAACUGAGACACGGGUCCAGACUCCUACGGGAGGCAGCAGUGGGGAAUUUUUGGGACAAUGGGGGCAACCCUGAUCCAGCAAUGCCGCGUGCGGGAAGAAGGGCCUUCGGGUUGUAAACC